CAAGUACUCGCUCCGUCCGGAAUUACUUGUCAUCAAAAUGGAUGUGUCUAGAACUAAAAUACAUCUAGAUACAUCCAUUUCAAUGACAAGUAUUUUCGGACGGAGGGAGUACAAG
rnacentral:pre_miRNA from 1 species